rnacentral:snRNA from 1 species
AUUGCUUCUUGGUCUUUUGGCUAAGAUCAAGUGUAGUAUCACUUUAGUAUAGUUUUAGGAGAAAGUAGAAGAAGAACUUGUGUGUUUAGUGUUUAUUCACUUAUAAAUGUCUUCUCUUUCGGAAAGUGUACGGUCA